AUGCUUUGUACUUGUCCAUUGUUGGCUGUGACUCUACUCAAUUAUUGUCCUUGGAGCGGGCCCGUCAGAUACAGGAGCCUUCCUCUUAGGGAUAUCAACCGGGUUUUUCGCUUGCUGAGUUGGCUGCGUUUCAUGCACGUUUGCAGUGACGAAAAGAUCCCCGUUUUUUUUAUUGAUAAGAGGACAAGCCACAACUCUCCUGUUUUUGUUGAUCCUCUCCCUUCACUAGCCUUGCCUAUGACGUACACAACACCUACUAGCUUCCCAUCUUCUGGGCUUUACCUGAACACCCCAAAGAAGAAACCUCUUCCCAGCAAGAUCGAAGAGGUUCGUGCUGCCGGAUGGCUUGAUCUGAUGCUCGCCUCAUCACCUCCUCGUAAGAGGCAAAGCAAGGACUUCUUACCCCAUGAUGUUCAAGCUGAUGAUCUUGAUUUGCGGUAUCGUAAUUGGAUGGUGAAUUAUCCUUCUGCGUUAGGCUCCUUCGAGGCAAUUACUGAGCUUGCCCGCGGGAAAAAAAUGGCAUUAUUUCUUGAUUAUGAUGGAACUCUUUCGCCUAUUGUGGACAAUCCUGCAAAUGCAGUAAUGUCUGACGAGAUGCGUGCUGCUGUGAGGCAUGUAGCAUCACUUUUCCCGACUGCAAUCAUUAGUGGAAGAUCUCGUGACAAGGUAUUUGACUUUGUGAAACUAACCGAGCUGUACUACGCCGGAAGUCAUGGAAUGGACAUCAUGGGGCCUAUUAGGAAGUCUGAGUCCAAUGGUCACCAUGUGGAAUGUGUUAGGUCCACUGAUUCAGAGGGUAAAGAGGUCAAUCUCUUCCAACCUGCAAGUGAGUUUUUACCUAUGAUAGCUGAGGUGUUCGAAAAUCUUAGUGAGAGUAUAAAGGACAUCGAAGGUGCAAGGAUGGAAGAUAACAAGUUCUGCGUGUCUGUGCAUUAUCGAAACGUUGCACCACAUGACUACGAAACAGUUCAUCAGCGUGUAACUGCUGUUCUGAAGGAUUACCCUUGUCUUAGGCUUACCCAUGGGAGGAAGGUUCUUGAAGUUCGCCCUGUCAUUGACUGGAACAAGGGGAAAGCUGUGGAAUUUUUGCUUGAAUCGCUUGGACUAAACGAGAGCGACGAUGUUCUUCCCAUCUAUGUCGGAGAUGACAAGACUGACGAAGAUGCAUUCAAGGUUCUGAAAGCGAACAACCAUGGCUUUGGAAUUCUGGUUUCAUCUGUGCCCAAGGACAGUGAUGCCUUCUAUUCCCUGAGGGAUCCAUCUGAGGUGAUGGAAUUCCUGAGGACAUUGGCAGCAUGGAAGGAAGGUUCUAGCUGA
rnacentral:rRNA from 1 species